GAUUCUAUGAACUCAAAAUUCUCCUGCUUGGUCCUUCAUAAGGCUUUGCCAUAAUUGCCAGAGACAGAUCAUAAAGUAUCCUGAGGCAAGACCAGGCUCCUUAAUAUACUGCCCCAGUCACUGUGCCUUCUUCCCGCUGUCCGCUUGGCUUUUAAUAAUGGUUUAAUGAAAAACCCAGAAUUAAUUGGAAGUGGCACCAGACACUCUCGGGGCUCACUGCAGGCUCCUUGACAUCCAUGUUUUAUAAGCCAUGUGCCAGAGUGAGUUUGCUGUUCUCAGUCCCUGAGGACGGUGAGUCAGAUGGGAGGAGGGCAGGGAUCAGGGAGAAAGGGAAAUGCUAAGCCCUGAUACAGUGGCUGAAUCCUUGGAGACCUCUUCUGGCAGGAAGAUAUUCCUUCCUAUAGCCAUCCCUUCUCUGAGUCCCUGCUGGGUCCCUUGCCCUAUGCCCAAGCUAAGAGGGAGGGCAAAGGUAAACAAAGCCCAGCCCAGAAAUCAUUUGAAUCCUUCCCCUCACUUUACAAAUGAGGAAACUGAGGCUCAGAAAGGCCAAAAAAUCUUGCUCCAGAUCACACAGCUAGUUAAUAGCAGAGCCAGGAAGUCAACUUGUUCCACUGCCCAGAAUUAUAACAGGGAGCAGCGAACUGCCCUAAAGACGAUGGUUGAGUGGGUCUGACCAAGAUAACUGCCACCUUUCCAGAAGCAGCCAUGAGACUGACACAGACCUGGGCACACAGGAAAUCUUAGAAUGAAGUGAUUCUGAGGAGUAGAAGGCUACAAACCAUCAUGGGAAAAAAGUGUUGGACUUGCAAUUAAAGACGUGGAUUUAAGUCUCAGCUUUCCUGUUGUUAACUGUAUAAUCCUGUUUUUUUUAUUUAUUUGUUUGUUUUAAUCUUUUAUUAUCAUCACCAUCCAGCUUUCUGUGCCAUGUUAUGUGCCCACCCAAAGAUCAGCUCUUCUAAAGAGCUCCUACAUAAUAUUUCUUUCAUGUUUCAAGAGGUGAAAAUGACCAUACAAGGUUAAGUACAAAAAUACAUAAGAUAGUGUUCACAAAAUAGCCCUAUGGGAGAUCUGGCCCCACCUGCAGCUUUAUAUUUGUUUGAGAAGUAGGACUGGUUAAACUAAAAAAUGUGGUCCUUCUGUACUUCUGGCAGGCUUAAUGGAAGUGACCUUAACCUGGCUUACAGCUCUAACGCCACUCUCACUGAUCUGGUAUUUACCAAAAAAAUAAAAAAAAUGUAUUUUCCA
rnacentral:lncRNA from 1 species